rnacentral:lncRNA from 1 species
UUGUCCUGAUGAAUUAAGGUGGUAUGGGAGUCUAAAAUAAAAAUGAUAGAAUUUGUUCAUACUUUGCCAAAACGUUGUAUCUAUUGAUACAUGUUGAAAAAUAUAAUAAAAAUGGUAGGUCAACGCGCAUUUUCUCAAGCUACAGGACGGGACAAAAUCACACAUUUUGUAUGGAUUAUACAGGAAAAAACACCAUUUUGUGAUUAGAAACUAAACAAAAUGAUAGAAUUGUUAAAUACUUCAGGAAAAGAUAGCUUUCAGACACUGCUAUGAGAAUAUCAAAAGAAAAGAUAGGGUCACCGUACGUUUUUUCCGGCUAAAAUACAAAAUAGGAAAAUUCCAUACAGAAUCCUUCAGAAAAUGCACUUUUUAGAGUUACCUCCCCUUAAAAUGCCAAUUUAAAAAAAAAAUAAAAACAACCAAAAAUAUUUAACAUUUGAAAAUGAUUUGCAAAAAUAUCAAUAUUUAGAAGUUAUAUUCUUAUAAAUUGGUACUUUUAAAUGAAAAUGUACAUUAAACAUCUGCAUUCCUGCAUCAAAUUUUGCUAAUUUGAUGGAAAAUCUGGACCCUUGAUUCUCUGUUUUUUACAAUCCAAGAUGGAGGAAGACACCCAUACCACCUUAAGGGGUUUAUUU